CAAAGGCUCUGCAUGGCUUAGCAGUGGCCCUGUCUCUACGAGCUCGCCACAUCACGUCACAACUGUCCACGCGUUCACCUCCCCCCACCCCUCCAUCCCCACGCUGGUGCCCGACACACGCCUGGAACGCGCAGAUGGCACUAACUGUUGACUGAGCCGGCAGGUUGAAUGGGAGCGAGACUGUGGCUGAACACGGAGAACGGGGAGGUAGACCCUCAGAGCCUGUCUUGCUACAGAGGCUCCGAAGAGCCCAGCGCUAACCCAGAGCCUCACACCCAGGCGGAACGUCCAGGGGCCGGGCCGGGAGAGGCUUGACUGUCCUCACACCCACGAAGACCCACAGAAUGGCGUUCCAAAUGGCUCCUCUCGGGGACAAAGAGGGGAUGUGAUUUGUCCACUCUGAAGGUGCAGCAACCAAAGGAUGAAGUGAUUUUCAACCCUAGCGAAAGAUAAUCAGAAUUUAUCAGGGAGACGCCCACUACUUGGAGAUGAAAGUCUGUCUCUCACCGUGGCGUGUUAAGAAAAGCAACUGACUUGGGAACUGAAUCCAGCUACACCGCCUGGGGCCCGUGGGCCUGUUCCCCGAGGUGUGACAAUGGAAGUAGUCAUGGGAACACUGGCCUCACAGGUGGCUUUCUGAGUUGUCGCCUCUGACUGCAAAGGAAUGCCUCCACGAGAGGAAAGCCAGCCCAGUCCGAAAAAUACAGUCAUGUAGAAUUUUCGAAAACCGCCAUACGCUAGAGCCCGUAUCCUGGUGGGUAUCAUGAAAACAGAACUCCUGCUUCUUAAUUAAAAAAAAAAAAAAAAAAAAACAC